rnacentral:rRNA from 1 species
AGCGAACGCUGGCGGCAGGCCUAACACAUGCAAGUCGAACGAACUCUUCGGAGUUAGUGGCGGACGGGUGAGUAACACGUGGGAACGUGCCUUUAGGUUCGGAAUAACUCAGGGAAACUUGUGCUAAUACCGAAUGUGCCCUUCGGGGGAAAGAUUUAUCGCCUUUAGAGCGGCCCGCUUCUGAUUAGCUAGUUGGUGAGGUAAAGGCUCACCAAGGCGACGAUCAGUAGCUGGUCUGAGAGGAUGAUCAGCCACAUUGGGACUGAGACACGGCCCAAACUCCUACGGGAGGCAGCAGUGGGGAAUCUUGCGCAAUGGGCGAAAGCCUGACGCAGCCAUGCCGCGUGAAUGAUGAAGGUCUUAGGAUUGUAAAAUUCUUUCACCGGGGACGAUAAUGACGGUACCCGGAGAGGAAGCCCCGGCUAACUUCGUGCCAGCAGCCGCGGUAA